GCACAAGCAGCGGAGCGUGUGGUUUAAUUCGAUGCUACACGAAGAACCUUACCAGGGUUUGACAUACAAGUAGUAGGGAAAGGAAACUGGACCGACCUUCGGGGAGCUUGUACAGGUGCUGCAUGGCUGUCGUCAGCUCGUGUCGUGAGAUGUUCGGUUAAGUCCGCUAACGAGCGCAACCCUCGCUGUGUGUUACAAGUGUCACACGGUACUGCCGGUCUUAAGCCGGAGGAAGGUGGGGAUGACGUCAAGUCAGCAUGGCCUUUAUGUCCUGGGCUACACACACGCUACAAUGGCCAACACAAUAGGUUGCUAAGCCGCGAGGUGGAGCCAAUCCUCAAAGUUGGUCUCAGUUCAGAUUGCAGGCUGCAACCCGCCUGCAUGAAGAUGGAGUUGCUAGUAACCGCAGGUCAGCAAUACUGCGGUGAAUACGUUCCCGGGUCUU
rnacentral:rRNA from 1 species